AUGUUGGAACAAUUUCUGGAUAUAUGCCCAGGAGAGGUAUCCAGAAUCCAGGAUGCAACAAGUGCCCUUGUGACAGGUCAGUCUUAUGAGAAUAUGGUAACUGAGAUCAUGUCAAUGGGCUAUGAACGAGAACAAGUAAUUGCAGCCCUGAGAGCCAGUUUCAACAACCCCGACAGAGCUGUGGAAUAUCUUCUAAUGGGAAUCCCUGGAGAUAGAGAAAGUCAGGCUGUGGUUGACCCUCCUCCUCAGGCUGUGAGUACUGGAACUCCUCAGUCUCCAGCAGUAGCUGCAGCUGCAGCAACCACGACAGCAACUACAACCACCACUUCUGGAGGCCACCCCCUUGAAUUUUUAUGGAAUCAGCCUCAGUUUCAACAGAUGAGACAAAUUAUCCAGCAGAAUCCUUCUUUGCUGCCAGCCUUGCUACAGCAGAUAGGUCGGGAGAACCCUCAGCUGCUGCAGCAAAUUAUCCAACACCAGGAGCAUUUUAUUCAGAUGCUGAAUGAACCCGUUCAGGAAGCAGGUGGUCAAGGUGGAGGAGGAGGUGGUGGAGGAGCCGGUGGAGGUGGAGGCGGCGGAGGAAUUGCAGAAGCUGGAAGUGGGCACAUGAAUUACAUUCAAGUAACACCUCAGGAGAAAGAAGCUAUAGAACUAGAAUGGUUAAAGGCAUUAGGAUUUCCCGAAGGACUUGUGAUUCAAGCAUAUUUUGCUUGUGAGAAGAAUGAGAAUCUGGCUGCCAACUUCCUUCUACAGCAGAACUUUGAUGAAGACUGAAGGGACUCUUUUGUACCUCACAUUCACACCAGUGCAUUACACUAACCUUGUUCACUGGAUUGUCUGGGGUGACUUGGGCUCAUAUCCACAAUAUUUGGUAUACGGUAGUAGGUUGGUGGGGGUGGGGAGCUAGGAUAUAGGGCAGGGAAACAUACAGUUGCAUGUCUGCUUCAAUUAGCAGAUGCUGCAGAUCCACACAGUGUAAAAUACUAUACAACCAAACAUCCGCCUUUACAGGUCAUUAUUCUUCUAAGCAGUAGGUAACUUUUCCUGGGUUUCAUUUUUCUAGUGUACUAGAUCCAGAAAUUUAGUGUGAUGCCCUGCUUUCUCUUUUCUUUGACUUAACAUUGGUUUCUGAAAGAAUCUUUGCUACCUAGAACCUGCAGUCUGUUUUAUGGCAACACUGGAUAAUGGCUUUUUGAAAUUGAGGGGAAAAAUUGGAGCAUCUGUAAACAGAAAUGCCAAAUUAUUGAUAGUCAUCGUUGCUGCUUCACAUUAGUAUGAGACUGAUGCAGAGGAAGCCCAUUCUUCGUGUUCAGUGCUGGGGAUGGGGUUGGGAGGGUAGAAAGGGCGCUUUUUCUUAAAACGAAAAUAAUUACUGCUAUUUUAAAAUUUCCUGAUUAUUGAAUGUGAGGCCCUCUAACAAUGAUUUGAGAAGCUGUACACAUAGGCAGAGUUAUUUUCCUGUUUACAUUGUUUGUUUGUUUGGGGGAAAUUGGUAGGUGUCUACUGUUCACUUCAUUGUUGUAUUGCAGUAAAAGAUUUAAAACAAAA